UACAGAGGGGGCAAGCGUUGUUCGGAAUUACUGGGCGUAAAGGGCGCGUAGGCGGCCUGUUAAGUCGGACGUGAAAUCCCUCGGCUCAACCGGGGAACUGCGUCCGAUACUGGCCGGGCUUGAAUUCGGGAGAGGGAUGUGGAAUUCCAGGUGUAGCGGUGAAAUGCGGUAGAUAUCUGGAGGAACACCGAUUGCGAAGG
rnacentral:rRNA from 1 species